rnacentral:lncRNA from 1 species
AAAAACAAGAAUGUGUCCAUAGUACACGGAUGCCCCACUCGCACUAUAAUUUUCCAUGUCCAGUGGACCGUGAAAUUGGGGUCAAAACUUUAAUUUGGAAUUAAAAUUAGAAAGAUCAUAUCAUAGGGAACAUGUGUACUAAGUUUCAAGUAGUUGUGACUUUAACUUCAUCAAAAACUACCUUGAUCAAAAACUUUAACCUGAACUUUGCACUUUCAUUUUCUAUGUUCAGUUAACCAUGAAAUUGGGGUCAAAACUAUAAUUUGGCAUUAAAUUUAGAAAGAUCAUAUCAUGGGGAACAUGUGUACUAAGUUUCAAGUGGAUUGGAC